rnacentral:rRNA from 1 species
CAGUCGCCGCGGGAAUACAGAGGGUGCGAGCGUUAAUCGGAUUUACUGGGCGUAAAGCGUGCGUAGGCGGCUUCUUAAGUCGGAUGUGAAAUCCCUGAGCUUAACUUAGGAAUUGCAUUCGAUACUGGGAAGCUAGAGUAUGGGAGAGGAUGGUAGAAUUCCAGGUGUAGCGGUGAAAUGCGUAGAGAUCUGGAGGAAUACCGGUGGCGAAGGCGGCCAUCUGGCCUAAUACUGACGCUGAGGUACGAAAGCAUGGGGAGCAAACAGGAUUAGAGACCCGCGUAGUCCCUGUCUCUUAUAC